rnacentral:lncRNA from 1 species
CAGUGGUAUUCUCUGGUUAUUUAUAGUAUGUUUUCAGGUGAUGUUGCAGUAAGAUAGGGUUUCAGCGAGCUCUCGGGUUCAGAUCUCGUCAUUGUUGCAAUGUUUCUCUCUAGACGUUGCAGUAGGUCUUAGUCGUUGUUGCAGUACUAUGUUUUGAGGUGUGUUUCAGUUGCUCCAAUCUGUAUGUUGUAGUAGUUUGUUUCAUGUUUUAUAGUAGUUGUUCAGUGUUGUUGUAGUACUAUAUCUAUGGUGUUUCAGUUACUCCAUCCAAUGCUUCAAUCUGCAUUGUUGUAUUAGUUGUUGCAUGUUGUUGCAACAGUUAUUCGGUGUUGUUGUAAUACUAUGUCGAUGUUUCGGUUUCUCUAUCCAAUGCUUCAAUCUAUAUUGUUGUAUUAGUUGUUACAUGUUGUUGCAGCAGCCGUUCGUUAUUGUUUGUAAUACUAUAUUCAUGGUGUUUCAGUUGCUCCAUUUAAUACUUCAAUCUGUAUGUUGUAGUUGUUGUGUUGCAUGCUGUUGCAGUAGUUAUUCGGUGUUUGUUGUAAUAAUAUGUUUAUGGUGUUUUAGCUACUUCAUCAUAUUUGUUGUAGCAGUAUGUCUAGUGUUGUUGCACUAUCAUGUGUAUUCUGUUGCAGCGUUAAGUGUAUGAGGGCAGGAUGUGAGGACGAGUUAGCGACAGAUAGAUCUGCUAGGGGCAGGCAAGGCAAGGGGCGAGGCAGAUCCUAUGCUCGUUGGGGUGGGGACAGGCUACUUAUGCGGGGAGCGGACAAAGGGCGGUCCUCCGUGUGGGGUGAGUGUGGCAUGGGACGAGUUGGUUGGGAAGGAGUGGACAAAGGGUGGUCUUCCGCGUGGGUCGAGUAGGGCAGGGGCGAGUUGGUUAGAGACAAAUAUGGUUUCCUUUUUUUUCUUUUUCUCCGUGUGGCGUGGGUGGGGGUUCGGCGUUCGGAUGUGUUGCUGGUGCCGGACGUCCGGGCACUAGUAGUAUCGUAUAUUUUUUGCAGUAUUAUAUGUUUUUUGGUGAAUUGUAACUCCGAAGUAGGUGUUAAUCCCAAAUUUUGAUAAGACAGGAUUUGCAUGUGGGUCCAUCUUGUGGAAGGAAGGAGUAACGGAUUAACUAAAUAGAAGCUUGGAUGAAGAUAGUCAAUCAAGGCGUAUUGAGUUUAGGCUGGACGCGAGGAAACGUAACGGGUCUUGUUGCGAGAAGGAAUUGGAGUCCAAGUUACCUUCUUUGAGUAGUCGUGUAAUAAUAGGACAUGAUUCGUUUUUCAGGCUAUAAAUAUUAGAGACCCGAUCCUAUAAAAAUAUACACAAUUCAAUAUAAGAAAAUUUUGGCUCAGGCCACACCUUAGGAGUAGGAGUAAGAGUAGAUUUCGACAAGAUCUUCGACAAAUUGAAAUGCAUCGGUUGAUUUCAACCUUUAGUUUUCUUGUAAGUAUUGUCACAGUUCAUAUCGGGUUU